GGUGUACUCCUUAACUUCCUGCUUUGCUUAACCCAUGGAGGCCUGGCCAUGGGGACAAUAUAUUAUUCCAUGACUUUCUCUAACUUGUCCUUCUUCGCUGCAGUUUCAUAACACUUUGCAGUGCUGUGCUCGAGUCACAUGAAACAAAGUAUGCCCUUCUGCUGAUAAAACUGCUUUCUGUGGAGAUAUUUUAGCCUGCUGCCUGGAUAAUUACAUGUGUAAUUCACAUUCGAGAUACAGAGCGACUUGAGGCGGGUGCACCCAGCCUGGCCUCACGGGGUCCUGCACUGAUCUGAUGGCCUCUUGCCAUAAUUGGUCAUUGAAGUGGCAGCUGCAAUAACCUCACCCAGUUCUGCCCUCUCAGUGAUCAUCUGGUGCUGCCUGUGUUUUCCCUCCUUUGAGCGAGGGCAAGCACCUUCUGGCUCAGGUGGGUUGGGCACAGAUUGAGACAAGAUGUCAUGUGUUUCAGAAAAGUCAAGGUUGGUUCACAAACCUCUCAGGGCAAUGAAGAGUGAGAAAGAAAGGAAAAUUAGCAUUUAUAAAAACUUAGAAAGGAGCCAGCCUUGUACUAAGCACUUUCAUACAUGUCACACAACUUAAUUCUCACAAUAGCCCAGUAAAGAAGAGACUCAAAGAAGUUAAGAUAAAUUGCCCAAGGUCAUCUAACUAGUUUGCGGCAGACCUGGGACUGGAAAUCAGGUUUCCUAGUUCCCUAUUCAAUGCUCUUUCUACCAAAGUGUGCAUAAUACCACCUGUUCCAUUUAUUCAUACAUCUAAUUAACAGAUACUCAGUUUUGUAUGGUAUGAUAUUCAAGAGCCAGGCUCUGACAUUAGACUGAGUUCAAAUCCUACCUCUAAUAUCUACUACUUAUACAACCUAGAUAAUUAUCUUACCCUCUAUAUACUUCAGUUCCAUAUUUGUAAAAUGGGAUUAAUAAUAAACCAUGUAAGUUAUCCAUGUAAAACCCUGAGACAUGGCAUAGAUUUCAAGAAACUCUUGAUAGAGCUAAUAGGGUGGUGGGGAAGAUAUAUGCAUAAACAGAUAAAUUACAGUACAAUACAUCAAAUACUAAAGUAAAGUUUAAAAGAAAAUGCUGUGGGAUCUUAGAGGAGAAUCCCUGCCUAGCGUCUCCUAUCCUGUGAAAUGUGAAAAGAAUCUACCCAAAUAAAAGGAAAACAAAACUCACAUGGUGUCUAUGAAAACUGGCUGUGCCAGAAAACAGUUAUAGUUUAAGCAGUAAAGACAGAUAAGGUAGUUCCAGUGGUCAUUUUUUACUCAGAACUCCCCUGCUUGUUUCUGGAAGCCCUCUAGGGUUUCUAAGUGCUCAAAAGCUUAGCUUGACCAUUAGUACUGCUGUUUUUAGAGCUGUCAACAUUUAUAUAAAGCUGAACUCGUCUUAUUCAAACAUGCCAUAUAUAAGACCUAAGAAUGAAUCAUUUCCCCUGAAAAGGAGUCUCAUAAAGGUAACAGAGAGUAAACAAAUUUCUAGGUUUUUUGUUUAUUUGUUUAAUCUACUAAAUUAUGAUAUUUAAGCAAUAUAAAUCAUUGACCCUUAAAGAGAAUGAUCCUCACAUAUUCCACUCUAAUUUCCCAAUUUUCUCUCCAGUACUGUGCUAUACCAGCUAAACCGAAUGAUCCGUAAUUUCCCUUACAGGUCUCUAUGCUUCCUGGAGAUUUCUCCAGACUUUGCCCUUCAUCUGGAUUGAUCUCAACCAUAUCCUAAUCUCUAGCUCUCAAAUUCUAUUUAUCAAGCACCCAAGAUUUACACAGAUGCCUACACCUUCCUAACGCCUUUUUAAGGAAUCAAACAUUUCUCUAGAUAUAGUGGGGGUCCAGUUUCAUCUAUUUUCUCUUUCUCCAAAGUCCCCUGGUACUGUACUAGUUCUAGAGAGCUCCUCACACUGAGACCCACAGCACAUGAUAAACAUUUUUUAAAAGUUGGGGAGGCAAAUCUAUGUAUGUAUGUUUAGGCAGGGACAGAGUCAAAUGGAAAAAAAUUGCUGUUAAAUACCUUGAGCGAUCAAUUUAGUAUUUGUUAUAACAUCAAGCACCAUGGACAGUUCUCCAAGCUACAGAAGAAAUGAAAUACAGUAUUGCUGCUUUCAAAGCAUUUAUACUUAAAGAAAUGAGAUCUAUACCAAGGGAAUGGUUAAUUUCAAAUACACAUGUAAAAUGAUAACAGUCUCUAACAUUCUCUGAGUAUUUACUAUGUAUCAAGAAUUGUUCUAAGUGAAGUGCUCUCUCUCUCUCAUCUAUCUUUUUAUCAUUUAUGUACCCACCUAUCUAUCUCUUCAUUUUAUCCUCUUCAUAACUCUAGGAGGUUGGUACCAUUACUAUCUCCAUUCUACUGAGGAAUAAAUAGAAAUAUGGAGCCACCACUCAAUCGCUAAACAAUACAACAUUGACUCCAUCAUUCAUGUUCUUGAUGUCCUGUCUUUGGUAUAUUACAAAUAGUUAAAUUUUGUAAUUCUAAAUACAUGUCAAGAAACAACUGACUGGAGUUCCCAUUGUGGCUUAGCAGAAACAAAUCUGACUGGCAUCCAUGAGGACGCAGAUUUGAUGUCUGGCCUUGCUCAGUGGAUUACGGAUCUGGCGUUGCUGUGAGCUGUGGUGUAGAUUGCAGAUGUGGCUUGGAUCUGGCAUUGCUGUGGCUGUGGUGUAGGUGAGCAGCUGCAGCUCCAAUUGAAUCCCUAGGCAGGAACCUCCAUGUGCCAUGGGUGUGGCCCUAAAAAGACAAGAAAGAAAAGAGAAAGGGUUAAAACAAAAAGUACUCCUUGAACAGCUGGAGAAGAUCAAGUGUAAUAGUAGAGAUGGAGAAACUUCAACAAAGUCAGAGAUAAGAGCUACAGCAGUUUGUGUGGAGAGACCAAGUGAGAAAUAAGGACCAAUAGGUGAAAAAAGAACACUUGAUGCAGGGCCUUGACCACAGGGUAAAGAGCUGAGGUGAUCACUCAAGUAACAUGGAGCUAUCCUAGGUCCUAGUGAAGCAGGAGGAUGAUGGACUGGAACUACUGGUCAUUUGGAACUACAUACUUAUAAACAGGACUUCACACUGUAUCACACAAUCCUAUGUUCUUUACAAGAUUCUGUCCUUGGAAUGUUUUUUGUUUUAGGAAUUAUUUGUUAUUCAUCAAUGUACUC
ensembl:lncRNA